CACGCCGUAAACGUUGUGCACUAGGUGUGGGAGGACAUCGACCCCUUCCGUGCCGUAGCUAACGCAUUAAGUGCACCGCCUGGGGAGUACGCCCGCAAGGGUGAAACUCAAAGGAAUUGACGGGGGCCCGCACAAGCGGUGGAGCAUGUGGUUUAAUUCGAUGCAACGCGAAGAACCUUACCCAGGCUUGACAUCCCGCGCAACCCUUGGAAACAAGGGGUUCCCUUCGGGGACGCGGUGACAGGUGU
rnacentral:rRNA from 1 species